GGCCUCUGCAUCGCCUGUACUAGAGAGCAUCAUAGAUCAGCCUCGUAAACACCGGAGCUCCGAGAAGACUAUUCCGAUCGUCGGCGUUCCUUCCGAUGCCGUUGUCGUCUUCGUUCGAUUUCUCUAUUCCUCCAGAAAUUACAGUAGGAUGAAGAAGAAGUUGUAAUGGGAGAUUACCAAGCUACUGCUGAUGUGUAUGUUCCGGUUUUCAAUGAAGAAGUUGGAGGUGAUGUGUAUGGGGAAGUUACGAAUUUUGAAGCAACUGAAAGAGACAUGCAAAUUGAUAUUGAGGAACCUUCUUCUAAUGUAGAGUCAAAAUAUGCACUCACUGUUGAGUUAAGAAGUCUUUGUGGGUCAUCAGAUGAUGAGGUUGAAUCCAACUACCAAGACUUUAAUCCUUAAAGAGACUUGGAGGUUGUACAACUUAAAGUGGGCCUCAAAUUUGCAACAACUACUGAUUUUAGAAUGGCUUUAAGGCAUUUUGCAGUGAAAAAUAAAUUUGUUAUUAUGUUUAAAAAAAAUGAGUUAAAAUUAAUCACUGCCAUAUGUAAACAAGAGUGUGGGUGGAGAAUACGUACAUUCCAAACUAAAAGUAAGAGUUGUUUGAGCAUUAAGACAUUCAUUAAAGAUCACAAUUGUAGUGGAAUUCAAACAAAUCAUCAAGCAACAUCAUCUUACAUUGCAAAUAGGUAUUUGGAGGCAAUCAGAGAGAAUCCAAAUUGGGAAUUCAGUUCAAUGAGACAAACUGUUACAAGGGAGUUGGCAACUAAUGUUUCUAUACACAAGAUUUACAGGGCAAAGGGAAGAGCAAAAGAGAUGGUUGAGGGGAACCAUGGGGAACAAUAUUCAAAUCUUAGAAAGUAUUGCCAGCUAAUUUAAGAAACUAACCCAGGAUCAGUUGUUAAGAUCUCCAAUUACCCUAGUAAGACUGAACCCAGAAGAUUCAAAAGAUUGUUUAUUUCUUAUGAGGCCAUGCAUAAAUAUUUUAGGGAAUGGUGUAGACCAUUCAUUGGUGUUGAUGGAACUUUUUUAAAAGGGCCUUUUUUUGCUAAGUGCAGUUGGGAUUGAUGGAAACACCAAGAUGUCCCCUUUGGCUAUUGCUAUUGUUGAGGCUGAAAAUAGGGACUCCUGGUCAUGGUUCAUGGAAGAAUUGAUGAAUAUUGUUGGUCCCCCACGUGGCUUGACAUUUAUGUCUGAUCGACAAAAGGGUUUACUUCAAACAUUUGAGGAUGUCUUGGAAGGGGCCGACCACAGGUUUUGUGUUCGACAUAUGUAUGAAAACUUCAAAAAGAAAUUUAAGGGAUUGCAAUUGAAAAUUGAGCUAUGGAAUGCUGCUAAAGCUUAUGAUGAGGUUGAAUUUAACAAGCAUAUGCAAAAGAUAAAGGAUAUAAAUGGUGAUGCCUAUGAUUGGCUUGUGAAGGUACCGUUCUAUCUUUGGGCAAGGGCACAUUUUCCAACUACUUCAAAGUGUGAUUUGGUAAUUAACAACAUGUGUGAAUCGUGGAAUUCUGUUAUUCUAAAGGCAAGGGAGAAGCCCGUGAUAACUAUAUUGGAGUGGAUUCAAAAACAUCUACUGAGGAGAUUUAAAAAAAAAAAGAUCUUUUAUGUCAUCAUACAAUGGAUUGGUGUGCCCUGAGAUAUAGGAGGAGUUGGAUAUAUAUAAGGAUGCAUCAUUGGAGUAUAUUGUUGAUUUUAAUGGGGAUUCUAGGUAUGAGGUUGAGUUUAGGGGUAAGAAUGAGGAUGUGAACAUGGAAAAGGAAACAUGCACUUGUAGGAAGUGGGAUGUGACAGGUAUCCCUUGCCAACAUGCUGUUGCUACCAUACUUUCUAGAAGGGAACAACCAGAGUUUUAUGUUGCUGGUUAUUAUCUUAGAUAAAAAUACCUUAACACAUAUGCCCCUAUUAUGUAUCCUAUGCCCCUAAAGAUGAUGAACAAAUAUUCCACAGACUUGAUCCUUCCACCCCUAUACCCUAAACCACCUGGAAGGCCCAAAAAAGCUAGGAAGAAAGCAAGUGAUGAAGUUUUAAGACCAACCAAACUUAGUAGAUCAUAUGUGGGUUUGAAAUGUACUAAAUGCUCACAAUCUGGACACACUGCAAGGAGCUGUAAAUCAACUGAAACCGUUGUUAGAGAAAAAGCCCAAAAGGUAAAGAAGGUAGACCCCGUUUGAUUAAACCUACUUUUCUUGGGAUUGACACUAGUAUUGACAGAAGAGAUUUGUGGCAAGCUGAGAUGAAUAAUAGAAGAACAACUAUAGUAUCUGAAAAUGGAAAUGGAGGUUUAGUUGCAUCAAAAGGGAGAGGGAGAAGAAGAGGAAACGAAAGAGGUGCAGGAGAAGGGAGAUCAUAUUCAAUUGGAGUUGUAAACACUCAAACUUCAGUAGCACAAGAGGUUGCAAACACUCAAACUUCAGUGGCACAAGAGAUUGCAAAUGGAGUUGGAACAAGCAGCAUAGGAGGUUUAGUUGUAGAUUCAUUAGCAACUAGGCCUGGUCUAAUUGGAACAAGGGAUGGAAGAAUAGGUGGUUUACUUGGAAGAGGUUUUGAGCAUAAUGGAGUUGGAACAAGUGGCAUGGGAGGUUCAGUUGCAGAUUCAUUAUCAACAAAAGUGCGUUUGGUUGGAACAAGAGGUGGAAGAAGAGGUCCUGUUAGUAGCAAGAGGUGGUCUGCUUGGAAAAGGUCCAGCUUCAGUUGGAGGUCCAAAUAAAUGAACUUAAUGUGCGGCAAUUAUCAGUUUGAUGAUGACAUUUUUUUGUCAUAUUUUUUGGACACUAAUUGAUGUAAUUUAAUGUGUAAUAUUUUAUUUAUGAAUGUAUUGGAGUGUUUUGGUAAACAGGUUGGAUUCAUUUAUGUUAAUGAAUGCUUGGACGUGUGUUAUUGCCACAAUGGUUGUGAGGAUACAUUAUUUGGGGGCUAAAGGUUUCUUGUCAAUUAUAGAUGUAUUGAAAAAAAAAAAAAAAAAGAAAAGAAAAA